CUGGCUGCCCAGCGGGCAUCCGGCCUCCGCGGAGGCGGUGGGCGAAGGAGUAAAAGCGGGCCCCGAGAGUGACCGGGGGUUGGAGCCGGAGCCGCGGCCGCUGGGGGAAGAUAAACAGAAGAUGAUAGGGAGCAAUGAAUCCUCUACUGAAGGACCAGUGCCUACAUCCUACUUAACCUUCCUGGCUUAUUUACUGGGAGAAUGGACUGGUAUAGAACACACUGAAACUUAUCUGAGUUAUGGAGUCUACCUUUCAUGGGUGCUUUUUCCACUUGCAAUAGCUUUUAUACUUCCAAUAGCUAUCUUCUUCUUCUGCCUCAACACUUCCCUUCUCCUUCUUCAUAUUCAUAAAAGGAGGAAGAAUGGAUUUAAUGAAGGACAUUCUGGUGAUGUUUGGUAUGGUGCAAAAGAAAUGUUGGCUAACCUGUGGGAUGGACAUGGGAGAAUAUGGCAUGGUUAUGAACUUCAUGGGGAUGAAAAUAUUCCAGAAGGACCAGCACUUAUUGUGUUUUAUCAUGGAGCUAGUCCUGUUGACUAUCUCUAUUUCAUGGCUAGACUUCUUAUACGAAGGAAGAGAUAUUGCCACGUAGUAGCGGAUCAUUUCGUCUUUAGAUUACCAGGUUUAAAAACGUUUAUUGAAGUACUUGGCAUUAUGCAUGGACCAAAAGAAGUAUGUGUCAGUGCUCUGAAGAAAGGCUAUCUGUUAGCUAUUUCUCCAGGCGGACUUCGGGAAGCACUCUUUAGUGAUGAAACAUAUCCUAUUAUGUGGGGUAAUCGAAAGGGCUUUGCCCAGGUGGCCAUUGAUGCAAAAGUGCCCAUCAUUCCUAUGUUUACACAAAAUGUUCGAGAAGGCAUUAGGACAUUAGGAGGAAUAAAAAUACUUAGGAAGCUGUAUGAACGUAUUAGAUUGCCAGUAGUUCCUAUGUAUGGCUGGUUUCCAGUCAAGCUUCGCACGUUUAUUGGAGAACCCAUUCCAUAUGAUCCAAAUAUAACUGCUGAGGAACUGACUGCGAAGACAAAAGCAGCACUCCAGGCUCUAAUAGCCAAACAUCAGAAAAUACCAGGAAGUAUACUGAGGGCUUUAAUGGAACGAUUUCAAACACGACAGAAAGAAGACUAAGGUCUUCUGAGCAGUGUGCCAAGCAAGAGAUGACAGAGGAGACAUGAAGAAGGAAAACAUACAAACCUGUAGUAUCAACCUUUUUGUGACAAGAUGAGGAUGUGCUACCUCCAAUUCAAUCAGAUUUGAUAAUAAAUUACUGGGAACAGCUCCUGUUUUGCAACUGAGUAAAAGGCAUUUGGCUAUACAUCAGUAAGCUGCAUCAAGAGAAGGUGGAAGUGAUUCAUCCCAUUGUAAAUGCCCUGCUGCUGGGGUGGAGUGAAAUCAAUGUGAAGAGAUUCAGCAGGUGGUGGCAGCUCGUUGAAGUAAAUAAAUCAAAUGAAGAAAACAUGACUAUUCCCAGAUAUGAUGACAAGUGACCAUAUCAAAGUCCGAGAAUUUGCAUGUCAGCAAAAAAGAUGAAGCUGGAGGCAAACGGUGACACAGGAUACCUACCAGAGCACUCUGACCAGCCAGAGGAAUUGAUCUGUGGGCAAGUUUCCUGCUGCUAUCAGGACGUUGGUAGGACACUCCUGAGGAUGCGAGACCUCUGGCCAAAUGCCACAUAGGCACAAGGUAACCUCGUAGCUUCUUUCCCACUCUGCGCUGGCAUGGAGGGCUGGAAUCAAAAUCGCUGUGAGAAGGUGACAACAUUUGAAAUGAAGACUCAGAUGUAACAGAUGGCAAGCACAGCCCCAAGCAAAAGUAGAUUCCCAAAGGAAAGCACAAAAACAAAUACCAAACAGGCCUUUAAAGUAAAUGAACAAACAAACAAACAAACAAAAAGAGAAAGCCUUAAAGGGAAAUUCUUGGAAAAGUUACAAAAUCAUCUGAGAGAAAAGAAAGAUGGGGAGGAACAAAUGUGCAAUAAGGAAAGUGUGCUUUGCAUAAUGCUGCCCACUCCAUCUGAAGGAGCCUCCAGAUGUUCCGUGUUACUCUCAUGUGACUGUGAGUUGUGAAAUAACUGGUGUGCUGCAAAGUGAGAAAAUCAACGCUGUGUUCUAGGCAGCUUCUGAUAUCAAGGGAACGGCAGAACUACUUAUUUGGUAGAAUUUGCUUCAGAGCAUGUUUCAGAAUUAGCUCAUCACUCACAACAACACCUUUUACAAGUCGAUGUGAGUUGUCUCCUUGGGAAAAAGCAGCUGGCAGAUGAGGCAGUCAAAACCUAUUUUUCCAAAAGCAGCCUCUGAUCUGAACAUAGAGACACUGUGAGUAUUCAGUCUGAAAAACAAGGGCUGCAUUUUUCAAAACUGCUGAGCUUUGCUGGGUCCUAUCUGAGAGUGCUGGAACUGCAAGCCCUGACCACCCUCCAGAAUGAUGCCAGAGCAAGCUCCAGCUGAACCACUCAUUUCCCACAGACAUCAUUGCCAGUGACUUUUUGUUGCUGACUGCAGGUGGAAACAAGCAUCCCUGCUGUGCAUGUUGUAAGCCCAGAGCCUCAAUGACAAUCUAAAUCAGAAAUAGAUGGAGACGACCAACAGGAAAGGCAGAUGCUUCUGGCACCAGGCCUAUGCUCAGACAACUUUCACCUUAAUUUUAUUGAGACUUUUUUUUUUUUUGUGCAGCAGUGGAAUUGAUCAAGUUCCAAAUCUGUACUAACUAUAGAGAUACCAAAAAUUUAAAAUCAGUAUAAGGUUAACUUGCUUAAAACUUUGAGAUUGCUUGGAGAAGAAUCACAGGAGUCCACAUAUCGGUAAUAAUCCAUUUGCUCAGUUUCCUUAUUUAUAUAAUAGAGUACAUAAGCUUAUCAUUCCAUGUUUUGAGACUUUAUUCUUGAAUUGCUGUCUCUGAGCUAUCUGCUUGGUUAACAAUGCACAUAUGGCAGUAACACAAUGGUUGGUAACACUUACUGUGCUUAUUGGUGUGCUCAGGGCAGUACAGCUUAUGCUCACAGCACUUAAUUAGAACCUGACUGAAAAGAAAUGGCUUGAUUGCUGGAAGACCCAGUAGGAAUAAGUCUUCAGCUUUGUAUAUAGCUUUCUAUGAAUGAGAAAUCUUUCCAAGUGGGAAAAACUGAGUGCUUAAGAAUGAAUACAAUAUGCAUGAGCUGGUGUGCCUGACCACGGGUCCGAAGUGCUGCCACAGCAAACAGACUAUACAGAAUAGCACUUUCCUACUUUCCUGUCUCAUUUCUAUAGCACAGAAUUUAGUGAAAAGAUGUGUCUUAUAACUGCAGUACAAAGGAAAAGAACUGUCCAUCUCUGGUCGGCCUAUCCAAGAUUCCCAUUGCGGUGGUAGGAAGAUACAGCUCCCUUCCAUACAAACGGGUCUGUGUGUACUUUAUGAGCUAAGUUAACUGAGUGAAUGUAGUGUUAACUACAUAUGAAAUAAGUAGAGAAAAAACAUACUUGGAUAAUUUUGCCAAGGCACUUGGGGCUUUUAUUACCAAGUCUCUAUAUUUAGUUCAUCAGCAAGUUUUUCUACAGGAACCAUAGCCAUUUCUCAAUCUCUCUCUCUCUGUUUUUUAUGGUUUUUUUUUUUUUUUUUUUUUAAAGUAAGGAGAGGUGAGAACUGCUCUGAAUAAGCACUGUUCAAGCAGCCUAUAAAAACUUCUCCACUUCUUUUCUUUGUUAAGAAUCUAUUUAAACUGUCUGUUAUCAUUGUUUAGCUUAAAAAGAAACUGCUUUGCUUCUUACAUGUCACAAGCUUACAUUAAAAGCAUCCUGGACAAGGCUUUUGCAUCAGUGGUCAAUAAUUUGCCUAAAAAAUAUGUCAAUUCAAUCCUUUUACCCCAAGGUAUGUAGUCCCACACCAUGGCAGCUACUCACCCACUUAAUGCUCUUUGACCUCACCAAUUAUAAAAUUAUUGGAUAUCAUCAAAUGACUUUCCAGUACCCAAGAUUGUGGCUUUGAUGACUUCUGUGCCUGAUUCACAUGAUUGGUUAAGAAAGUUAUUUAUGAGCAUGUUUCUAUCUGGUGAGGUUUUAUUUUUAUUUUUAUUUUUAUUUUUUUUGUGUGUGUGUAUGUGUGUGUGUGGUUUUGUUUGUUUCUUUGAUGGGGAUUUGCAGGGUUACAGAGACUGAGGAUCUUAACUCUUGUGAAUAACUCUUGUGAAAUAGGGCAGUUACCAGUUAUGUUGUUGGAGUGCUCCUCCUUCCAUUGCACUUUGCCAAUUUACAAUAACAAACUGCUUUGUCUUUAGCCAAACUACAAGACAUGUAGUCAACAAAUGCAAAUUCAGUUACCUGUGGUAUAUAUCUAGGUAGAUAGUAGAUAGAUCUUUCUCUGAACUCACAGUAAUUAUUUAGUGCUUGAUGGAUUGUUUUCCCUGGCCUCUCUUUCUUGGUCACCUCAGCUAGGCCAACAAGCAUUUAAGAAGGAGGGGGGGCAUGGCUAAGGGACAGAAGGGCUGAUGGAUUUGGGUACUUUAUUUGAGCACAAGCUCCUGGUGCUGUUUAGGGUGGCAUUACAUGCCCAAAUGUAGCAAUGAAGUCCUGGAGGGGUAUUAAGAUCAUUGAAAGUGCUGCCAAAAUCAGAACUUGUGUAAUGAUCUAAUAAUUAAAGGCACUUGUCCAAGAGGCAGGAGGAGAAGAAACAAAACCCUCCUCAACCCCAGGGGAUUUGAACACAGGAAGAUCAAGGAAGCUGCAUCUUUCCUGGAGUUUCUCCUAGCUAUUGUGUUCAGGACGAGGCUGGGUGAGGCCCGUCACUCCCUUGCCUUCUGUUGCAUGGGGAUCACUGCUUGGUAGGUAGUGAUGCUUUCAGGAGACAGAGGAGAGGAUGAAAACAGCAGCGCGCUGUCUCCUGUUCCCUGUGAGCCACUUCAGGUGCUGGAGGAGUUCUGGGUUUCUGCACUCCUCACUCUGUAUUCCUUGUGGCUGAAAUGCUUCAAGAGCCAUGAGAACCACAGUCCAGAAAUCUCCCCCUUUCCAAGGGAGCAUCCUUAUUACCUGGCAGCAGGGUCUGUGCCCUCCACAGGGCUGAGGAAUAUGGGCCUGCUCCAUGGGCAGUUUUUUGGGAGGCCUUCCUUCCAAACAUCACUCAGGGCCCAGACCUGGGUACCCAGAGCACCCUGCUCUGCUGCUCUUGGGGUGAAGUGCCUGUGGGCUGUCUGGUGGCUUCCUCGGGGUCCCUGCUGUGACACCACUGGUAAAGUUGUCCACAUCCCAUAGGGAUCUCUCAACUCUUCUACAGCAACCAGAAGUGGCUUAGGAACUGCUCACGCCACUCCUGUGCUCGAACAUAGAGCUCUUUUGAUGAUAUUAUUGACUGUAUUGUAGAAUAGUUAGAGGUGGAAAGGCCCUUUGGAGAUCAUCAGGCCAAUUCUUUGUCAAAACAAGGCCAGCUUUGGGCUUGUUCAGUAAUGAUGUUGAAAGAUGGCAUCUUUUGCUGAUCCAUCAUUUUAAGAGAGUUUUUAAAGAAGACUCUAGAGCCAUGGUAAAAUGACCACAGUGUACUUUAUUUAAUGAUUUUGGUACCUUGUGUUGCAAUAAAAUAAAAAAAAUCUACAAAA